rnacentral:pre_miRNA from 7 species
AGUGUAGUGAGAAGUUGGGGGGUGGGAACGGCGUCAUGCAGGAGUUGAUUGCACAGCCAUUCAGCUCCUAUAUGAUGCCUUUCUUCACCCCCUUCAA